GACGAACGCUGGCGGCGUGCUUAACACAUGCAAGUCGAACGGAAAGGCCCUGCUUUUGUGGGGUGCUCGAGUGGCGAACGGGUGAGUAACACGUGAGUAACCUGCCCUUGACUUUGGGAUAACUUCAGGAAACUGGGGCUAAUACCGGAUAGGAGCUCCUGCUGCAUGGUGGGGGUUGGAAAGUUUCGGCGGUUGGGGAUGGGCUCGCGGCUUAUCAGCUUGUUGGUGGGGUAGUGGCUUACCAAGGCUUUGACGGGUAGCCGGCCUGAGAGGGUGACCGGCCACAUUGGGCCUGAGGUACGGCCCAGACUCGUACGGGAGGCAGCAGUGGGGAAGAUUGCACAAUGGGCGGAAGCCUGAUGCGGCAACGCCGCGUGCGGGAUGACGGCCUUCGGGUUGUAAACCGCUUUCGCCUGUGACGAGGCGUGAGUGACGGUAAUGGGUAAAGAAGCACCGGCUAACUACGUG
rnacentral:rRNA from 1 species